UGCUGUGAACUCGAAGAGUAGGGCGGGACACGUGGUAUCCUGUCUGAAUAUGGGGGGACCAUCCUCCAAGGCUAAAUACUCCUGACUGACCGAUAGUGAACCAGUACCGUGAGGGAAAGGCGAAAAGAACCCCGGCGAGGGGAGUGAAAAAGAACCUGAAACCGUGUACGUACAAGCAGUGGGAGCCUCUUUAUGGGGUGACUGCGUACCUUUUGUAUAAUGGGUCAGCGACUUAUAUUCUGUAGCAAGGUUAACCGUAUAGGGGAGCCGAAGGGAAACCGAGUCUUAACUGGGCGUUAAGUUGCAGGGUAUAGACCCGAAACCCGGUGAUCUAGCCAUGGGCAGGUUGAAGGUUGGGUAACACUAACUGGAGGACCGAACCGACUAAUGUUGAAAAAUUAGCGGAUGACCUGUGGCUGGGGGUGAAAGGCCAAUCAAACCGGGAGAUAGCUGGUUCUCCCCGAAAGCUAUUUAGGUAGCGCCUCGUGAA
rnacentral:rRNA from 1 species